rnacentral:rRNA from 1 species
UACGUAGGGUGCGAGCGUUAAUCGGAAUUACUGGGCGUAAAGCGUGCGCAGGCGGCGCGUUAAGACAGGUGUGAAAUCCCCGGGCUUAACCUGGGAAUUGCAUUCAAGACUGUCUUGCUAGAGUGUGGAAGAGGGAAGCGGAAUUCCAGGUGUAGCGGUGAAAUGCGUAGAUAUCUGGAGGAACAUCAGUGGCGAAGGCGGCUUCCUGGUCCAACACUGACACUGAGGUGCGAAAGCGUGGGGAGCAAACAGG